rnacentral:pre_miRNA from 1 species
GGGGUUGUCUAAAUGACCCAUGAUAAAGUUUGGGUUAAAUAACCCAUCAUCCAAUCACAUUGGAGAUAAAUGAGUUUGAAAUAAAUUAAUAAAUAAAAAAUAGAAAUUCCAACUCAUUUAUCUCCAAUGUGAUUGGAUGAUGGGUUAUUUAACCCAAACUUUAUCAUGGGUCAUUUAGACAACCCC